CUGUGGAGCUGCUGUUUGGACCGUUUCCCGUGCAAUGCCUUUUAAUCACUAAUAGUGGAACUGCUCCGAAGCACCGUAGGCUCUGAUGUCAAGGACCUCCAUAAAGAUAUGUGGCUCCAUCUAUACCAGGCCAGUCUGGAAUUCCACAGACAAUGUUGUCUUAAAGUUUGCAUAGACGGCAUAGAAUUUGCAGAAAAUAAUCAUCAUUAGACGUUCUGACGAAAAGGUCAUUGACCUGAAACAUUAAUUCACUUUCUCCUCUCCAUG